rnacentral:misc_RNA from 1 species
ACUUGAGAGAGUUUUGCCUGCAUUUGCGACGACAUGGAUCAGACCCUUAUUUUCACGUGGAUUGCCCGAUGUGUCGCAAGAAGUUCACCACUGUUCGGUAUUGGAAAGAUCAUGUUUUGUCUAGAAAGUGUUCUCCGGUUGAAGCUGCUGGUUGUGCUUCAAAUGCUCCAGAGACAUCUUCGUCUCAAAAUCAACAAGAAACUGGUGUCGAGAUUGAUUCUGACUCUGGUGACAAGGUUGAAGACGACCCUGGUGCUCACGAUGUGAGAAAACAACUGUUAGGACUCAUAAUCAAACUCCGCGCCCAAAAUGUGACCGAAAAUAGCUGCCAUGCUGUGCUGGAGUUCAUUGAGGACUUUUCGAAAGAAGUCAUCCAAGAGUGUCUGAGCUUAUGUGGGGAGGCACCAUGCUGCCAUCUUGAAGAAUAUUAUCAUAAACUCAAGACUCUGAAUGAGCUGAGCAAGUUACAGGGUAGCGACCACCUAGAACGCACAGCUGUCAAGGAGUUUGAAACGGUUGAUCCUGUAUCUGUGACAUUGGGCACAGACGAACAUGGGAAAGAUGAAACGCUCCAAUACUUGCCAGUUACACCUCAGCUUAAACAACUCUGCGAGCAAGUGAAUGCUUGCGAAGAUGCAACUGCAUCACCAGAUGGGAUACUUGGUGGCCUUCAGGAUGGAUACGUCCAUAACAAUAAUAACAGCGAAGGUCGUUUGCUUCUUUCAGUCUACUAUGACAGUUUUCAAGUAGGCAACCCCUUGGGCAGCAGAGCAAAGAACCAGAAAGUGGGCGUUGUUUAUUUUUCAGUGAACAGUCUUAAGAACAGCGCACUUCGCAACAAAAUCAUCCUUUCGGUAGUCUUUCGAGAGGCACUGCUGGCAACACAUUCAUGGGCAACACUGCUCGACCCACUCAUCACCGAACUUAAAGAGCUUGAAUCAAGCGGUUUUGUGGCAAACAUUCGUGGUGGCUCGCAUUUUACUGCACACGUUGCAGUGUUGAUCGGUGACAAUCUGGGCGUACACAGUGUGGCGGGCUUUUCACAGUGCUUCAGUGGGGGUGCAAUGAUUUGCCGACACUGUCAUGGAACGGCAGAUGAGAUACGAACAAAGACGAAGCUGGAAGAGUUUGACCUCCGUUCCAAAGAAGAUUAUGACUCCAAAGUGAAGCUUUUGCUUGAAGAAGGUUUCGGUGAAUCACUCUCGAAAGCGUACGGCAUCCGAAGCACGUGUCCGUUCAGCUCAUUGACGGGCUUUCACCCGAUGACGUCGAUACCCCCUGAUGUGAUGCAUGAUCUUCUAGAGGGCGUUGUGCCGUCCACCAUUGCUCUGGUGUGCGGUGGUUUGAGCUCUCGCGGUGAUUUGUCUCUGAACGAUGUGAACAGAGCUAUCAGGUCAUUCCCAUACAGUCAGGUGGACACAAAUCAUCCCGCCCCGUUACGCCGUGAUGGAAAGGGUAUAACUGUGAAGCAGCAGGCGAGUGAGGCUUGGUGUCUUCUGAGGCUUUUGCCAUUGAUUCUCCUGAGUGCAGGUGUUCUCUCAUCGGCUGUGUCUGGGAGCAAGAUGUACUCCCUGCUCGUGCAGUUAAUCAAAAUCAUGCUCCUACUCACUGUCUUCACGGUGUCACUGCAAGACUUGGAUAUCCUGCAAGGGAUGGUGGAAAAGUUUUUGACAGACCUUCUCGCAUGCUUUCCGGAGUUCAAACUGACGCCGAAGCAUCAUUUCCUCUUACACUAUGCCGAUCAAACGAGGAGACAUGGCCCAUUGAGGUAUCUAUGGAGCAUGAGAUACGAAGCCAAACAUCAAACCUUGAAGCGGUCUGUGGCAAACUCGCGCAAUCGUAAAAAUAUAUGCAAGAGCAUCGCAACUCGUUAUCAGCUGAAGAGUGUCGCAGAUGCAAUGGAACUACGCGGUCGUAUGAGCGGCGGGCAACCUUUCAGGGGAGAGGUUCCGGAAGCGGCUGCUGCAUUGACGAGAGGGGCACAGCUUUUCAAAAAGGCGCUAAUAAACGGCGAGAAGUACUGCGCGGGUGAAGCUCUGCUGCUGCACACUGGUGUCGCUGUGAUUAUCUGCAUUUGCAAACAUCCAAGCAGCGUUGAGUCGGACAAACAAUUCCUGGUGCAGCACCAGGUGGCCAUUUAUGACACAUCCUUGGGAGCUUUUAUCAUUUCUGGAACAGAUCAAUAUGAUGUAUUCGACUGUGCGAGUCUCGUUGAUCCCCAGCCCCUCGGCACGUACUGGAUCAAUGACCACCACUAUGCCGUUCCUCGGAGGCUGAUACCCGGCUACGGGAUGCUGUAGAACGAUAGGACCACGAUCGCCAUGCUGACCUACGUGGUGCAGCAACACGACAUCAACCGACUUGUGACUGUGAAGAAUAAGGGUGAUGUUUUGGCGGCCGCAAAAGAGGCGUUUUCUCUGUCUGGCAGUUAUUGCUUAGAGCUUUACCACAAGGAGUCCGAAUUGUAUGUUCGCAUCGAUAACCCAGUAGACGACCUACCAUGUGGCGGACGGAUUCGCCUUGUCCCCGUCCAAGUCUCCAGCCCACCAGUGUCAUUCAUCCAAAGAUGUCUCAGCACGGCCGACACCAUCCCCGUCCUGACGAUGACAGCUUCUCCUGGCGCCUUGGGAACUCCCUCCUGUUCCAAGGAUUCAGCAGUGAUCGAUGACCUUUUGGUGCCAUGCUCUUCCUCUGUGAGUUCUGCCGUCGGCGAAACGGCACAGGACCCGCUUGCUCUCACCGACGGCGGGACCAGUGACAACGAGUCCAGCAAGGACGCCGGGACCAGUGCGAG